UACGGAGGGGACUAGCGUUGUUCGGAAUUACUGGGCGUAAAGCGCACGUAGGCGGAUUUGUAAGUCAGGGGUGAAAUCCCGGGGCUCAACCUCGGAACUGCCUUUUGAUACUGGCGAUCUCGAGUCCGGGAGAGGUGAGUGGAACUGCGAGUGUAGAGGUGAAAUUCGUAGAUAUUCGCAAGAACACCAGUGGCGAAGGCGGCUCACUGGCCCGGUACUGACGCUGAGGUGCGAAAGUGUGGGGAGCGAACAGG
rnacentral:rRNA from 1 species